GGGCCUUACAAGAUGGAACUAUGGUUAUCGUUGGAGGAAAAACUAAUCGAGCCAAGCCUGAAUUUCCAGAGGAGAUGGACUGCUUGCUUGAUUGGGUUCCAGAAAUAGUUGAAUCAUCUCGUUCCCAGGAACCUGAUAAAGUAGUGGCUAGUUUAUGAGGCAUUUAGAUGGAAAGAAAGAACACUUGUAGUGGGAUGAUAGAUGCAAUUUUAAACUUUGGAGUAAAGCAGAGAGGUGGCUUGAAUACAAUCUGACGUCCAGCUCUCAAAUUAAGGGCACCGCUCCAUCCCAUUUGAACAAAACUUUGGCACAGAAGAUGGUUGAUAAAUUUCUUUCCUCAUUUUAAGUACUCA